rnacentral:rRNA from 1 species
UACGAAGGGGGGCUAGCGUUGCUCGGAAUCACUGGGCGUAAAGGGUGCGUAGGCGGGUCUUUUAAGUCAGGGGUGAAAUCCUGGAGCUCAACUCCAGAACUGCCUUUGAUACUGAGGAUCUUUGAGUUCGGGAGAGGUGAGUGGAACUGCGAGUGUAGAGGUGAAAUUCGUAGAUAUUCGGAGGAACACCAGUGGCGAAGGCG